GAUGAAGAACGCAGCGAAAUGCGAUACGUAAUGUGAAUUGCAAAUUCAGUGAAUCAUCGAGUCUUUGAACGCACAUUGCGCCCCCUGGUAUUCCGGGGGGCAUGCCUGUCCGAGCGUCAUUGCUGCCCUCAAGCACGGCUUGUGUGUUGGGCCCCGUCCUCCGAUCCCGGGGGACGGGCCCGAAAGGCAGCGGCGGCACCGCGUCCGGUCCUCGAGCGUAUGGGGCUUUGUCACCCGCUCUGUAGGCCCGGCCGGCGCUUGCCGAUCAACCCAGAUUUUUAUCCAGGUUGACCUCGGAUCAGGUAGGGAUACCCGCUGAACUUAAGCAUAUCAAUAAGCGGAGGA
rnacentral:misc_RNA from 1 species